rnacentral:rRNA from 1 species
CCUACGGGGGGCUGCAGUGGGGAAUAUUGGACAAUGGGGGGAACCCUGAUCCAGCCAUGCCGCGUGUGUGAAGAAGGCCCUCGGGUUGUAAAGCACUUUCAGUGAGGAAGAACGCCUGGUGGUUAAUACCCAUCAGGAAAGACAUCACUCACAGAAGAAGCACCGGCUAACUCCGUGCCAGCAGCCGCGGUAAUACGGAGGGUGCGAGCGUUAAUCGGAAUUACUGGGCGUAAAGCGCGCGUAGGUGGCUUGAUAAGCCGGUUGUGAAAGCCCCGGGCUCAACCUGGGAACGGCAUCCGGAACUGUCAAGCUAGAGUGCAGGAGAGGAAGGUAGAAUUCCCGGUGUAGCGGUGAAAUGCGUAGAGAUCGGGAGGAAUACCAGUGGCGAAGGCGGCCUUCUGGACUGACACUGGCACUGAGGUGCGAAAGCGUGGGUAGCAAACAGGAUUAGAUACCCGGGUAGUC